rnacentral:rRNA from 1 species
GGGUGAGUAAUAUAUCGGAACGUACCAUUCAGUGGGGGAUAACGUAGCGAAAGUUACGCUAAUACCGCAUAUUCUGUGAGCAGGAAAGCAGGGGAUCGCAAGACCUUGCGCUGAUUGAGCGGCCGAUAUCAGAUUAGCUUGUUGGUGAGGUAAAAGCUCACCAAGGCGACGAUCUGUAGCGGGUCUGAGAGGAUGAUCCGCCACACUGGAACUGAGACACGGUCCAGACUCCUACGGGAGGCAGCAGUGGGGAAUUUUGGACAAUGGGGGCAACCCUGAUCCAGCCAUGCCGCGUGAGUGAAGAAGGCCUUCGGGUUGUAAAGCUCUUUCAGCCGGGAAGAAAACGCAUGGGUUAAUACCCUGUGUGGAUGACGGUACCGGAAUAAGAAGCACCGGCUAACUACGUGCCAGCAGCCGCGGUAAUACGUAGGGUGCGAGCGUUAAUCGGAAUUACUGGGCGUAAAGCGUGCGCAGGCGGUUUUGUAAGACAGGCGUGAAACCCCCGGGCUUAACCUGGGAACUGCGUUUGUGACUGCAAGGCUAGAGUAUGGCAGAGGGGGGUGGAAUUCCACGUGUAGCAGUGAAAUGCGUAGAGAUGUGGAGGAACACCAAUGGCGAAGGCAGCCCCCUGGGUCGAUACUGACGCUCAUGCACGAAAGCGUGGGUAGCAAACAGGAUUAGAUACCCUGGUAGUCCACGCCCUAAACGAUGUCAACUAGGUGUUGGGAGGGUAAAACCUUUUAGUACCGGAGCUAACGCGUGAAGUUGACCGCCUGGGGAGUACGGCCGCAAGGUUAAAACUCAAAGGAAUUGGCGGGGACCCGCACAAGCGGUGGAUGAUGUGGAUUAAUUCGAUGCAACGCGAAAAACCUUACCUACCCUUGACAUGCCAAGAACUUUCCAGAGAUGGAUUGGUGCCCGAAAGGGAACUUGGACACAGGUGCUGCAUGGCUGUCGUCAGCUCGUGUCGUGAGAUGUUGGGUUAAGUCCCGCAACGAGCGCAACCCUUGUCGUUAAUUGCCACCAUUUAGUUGGGCACUUUAACGAGACUGCCGGUGACAAACCGGAGGAAGGUGGGGAUGACGUCAAGUCCUCAUGGCCCUUAUGGGUAGGGCUUCACACGUCAUACAAUGGUCGGUACAAAGGGUCGCCAAGCCGCGAGGUGGAGCCAAUCCCAGAAAGCCGAUCGUAGUCCGGAUCGCAGUCUGCAACUCGACUGCGUGAAGUCGGAAUCGCUAGUAAUCGUGGAUCAGAAUGUCACGGUGAAUACGUUCCCGGGUCUUGUACACACCGCCCGUCACACCAUGGGAGCGGGUUCCGCCAGAAGUAGGUAGCCUAACCGCAAGGAGGGCGCUUACCACGGCGGGGUUCGUGACUGGGGUGAAGUCGGAA